GUGGGGAAUCUUCCGCAAUGGACGAAAGUCUGACGGAGCAACGCCGCGUGAGUGAAGAAGGUUUUCGGAUCGUAAAGCUCUUUCGUUAGGGACGAACGUGCUCUUUGUGAAUAAUGAGGAGUAAUGACGGUACCUAAAUAAGAAGCCACGGCUAACUACGUGCCAGCAGCCGCGGUAAUACGUAGGUGGCAAGCGUUGUCCGGAAUUAUUGGGCGUAAAGCGCGCGCAGGCGGGAUAUCAAGUCUGUCUUAAAAGUGCGAGGCUCAACCUCGUGAGGGGACAGAAACUGGUAUUCUUGAGUGUCGGAGAGGAAAGCGGAAUUCCCCGUGUAGCGGUGAAAUGCGUAGAUAUGGGGAGGAACACCAGUGGCGAAGGCGGCUUUCUGGACGGUGUCUGACACUGAGGCGCGAAAGCUAGGGGAGCGAACGGGAUUAGAAACCCGUGUAGUCC
rnacentral:rRNA from 1 species